AGGAUCAAAGCGAUCGCAGCCAAGCACAAUAAAACUACAGCCCAGGUCCUGAUCCGGUUCCCCAUGCAGAGGAACUUGGUGGUGAUCCCCAAGUCUGUGACACCAGAACGCAUUGCUGAGAACUUUAAGGUCUUUGAUUUUGAACUGAGCAGCCAGGAUAUGACCACCUUACUCAGCUACAACAGGAACUGGAGGGUCUGUGCCUUGUUGAGGUGAGUGAGCCCCAGCGUGAGGAGCAGUUCCCAGGAGAUACUCAGAUGCUGCAGAGCAAGAGUGAUCCCUGCAGGCCUCAGUGCCUAUGUGCUCUCAUCACAGCUGUUCUUGCUUUGUGCAUUACCUUGCUUUCUCAGCCACAUGACCUGCAUCAGCUGAACUGCAUGGAGCCAAGAUGCCAAGAGAUCUGCUCUUGAUAUCUUCUUCCAGCCCUGGGGCAUUGUUGGCCUGGCCUGAAGUAACUACGUAUUUUGGCUUUCCAUUUAAUUUUUAAAUCCUAGUGGUUCAUCUGAAACUAGGUGAUCCCAGGUGACCCUGGAUCAAACUCUGGAAGAAUUUGCCUGUGACUUUUUGUCUUAAUGACCCUAAUGAAAGGGGUUUGGUCGGGAGCCCCUGGGGCUGAGGUUUGAGACAGUCCCAGCUCUGACCCUGGUAAGCCACAUGGCUCCGAAACAGGCCCUCCCUCUGAGCAGCAGGCACCUCAGUUCCUCCAGCCACACAUCCUCUGG
rnacentral:sRNA from 1 species